AAGUCGUAACAAGGUUUCCGUAGGUGAACCUGCGGAAGGAUCAUUAAUAAUCCAAAUUAUUAAAAAUAUACCUCUUUUUUUUUUUUCUUGAAAGCUUUUUUUUAUUAAUAAAAAGAGUUGAUAGGGGAGAAAAGGGCGAUAUAAAAAUUAUAUUGCAGGGGGGAGGAGAGAAAAGAGUAAGUUUAAUUUUAAAAUUACUUGAGUAUUUUUCUCCCCCAAAGGUGAUAAAACCUAUAUCUAAAAUCUAUGUAUAGCGCCUUAUAUAUAAUAUGGGGGGGGGUUCAAUGCACAGAGGAUAGAAAAUUUUUACACUAUGUAAAAAACAAAAAAAUAGAUACAACUUUUAACAAUGGAUCUCUUGGCUCUU
rnacentral:misc_RNA from 1 species